rnacentral:tRNA from 1 species
GCGCCCUUGGCCGAUUGGGGAGGCAGCGAGCUCAUAAUUCGCUUUCAGAGUGGUUCGAUUCCACUAGGGCGCA